ACCUCACAGUCUUAGUUAAAUAUUCUAAAAUCUGAUUUUGCAUUCCUAGAAUAUGAAUGAUCUUGACAUUCGAAAAACAUAUCUUCUCUAAUUAUAUUGCAAAGUUUGAUUAAACAUGGGACUCUUUAAUUAUGGCUAUGAAAUCCUUAAAAUUCAUUCCAAAAUUCUGAUAUGUCGAGUGCUGGAGCAUACUCUCUAUCGCCUAUCGUAUGUUUCGAACUGAAUGCAAAGCAGACUUUCGCUGUGGAUAACUUCGUGUCUCCAUAAGUUGAACUUUCCAGAACUAUCCAUCUAAACCCAUCCACACUAACUGAAUUAUACCAUAGAUGUUCAUGACCUAUUUAUCAUGCAUAUAUUACCCAAGCUCAAGACUUAAGGUUCUUUAAUACAAUGAUCUUGUGGAAUAGGUGGCACCAUCUCGUUUAUGUUGAACCAGGCUUGACACUCACUCUCUAUAUAACGAAAUAGCUCCAAUGGAUUUUUGUCUAUCCCUCCUAAAGAACUGGUCAUUUCGGGCCUUUCAAAUAUACCGGAUAAAAUUGAAACAUUAGAUUCGUUUUAUUUCAUUUUUUUGGAUAAAGAUCCGUGUCUAAUUUUUGCUCGACAAUAUUGUUCUUUCUCCGGAAUAAAUAAUUCAUAUUAGCAUAAAUAUUCGGCACCAUAAAGAUAUUUGGACUUGUUGGUGUUGCUGAUAAAGACUAACCUUGUAGAACUGGCAACAUUCGAAGAUGGCAUAAAUUACACUCUUCUGCCAUACCACGGGCAAUAGUUAUUGCAUUUCAUAUUAUGCCGUAUCAAAUUUUUCGUUACUGUCAUAUAAUCAAUUACCAUAUAAGAUGGCAUGUUCUCUGAAGUGCUUUUAAUGUCCAAGCUAAAACUUGAAGCUUAGUUAUAUUGGGUUCCAAUACUUCUUCUUCUUCUUUAGUUUUCAAUAAAUUUCAAAUUACCCAAUAUCCAAAUUUAACCUAAUAUUAUGUUUGGACUAUCCAUUUUGUUUUCAUUAUUAGUUUUCUUUUAAUUUGUAUAUUUAUUCCAUUAUCGUCUAGUUUUCAAAUAUUUUAAAAUAUAUUCUCAUAAGAUAUUAAAUUCACAAAAAUAAAACAAAAAAUUAAUACUCAAUAUAUGAUAAAUAUAAAAUUUUAUAUAUAAUUAAAUAAUAAAUAAAAAUGUUAUAUAUAUAUAUAUAUGUGUGUGUGUGUGUGUGUGUGUUAGACUAUGGGAGAUAUUUUUCUAAAAACCCCCCAAAAUGAUUGUUUUCUUAUUCUGAUUUUUUUCUAGCUGUAAUAGCAUAGUUAUGAUACCACAAGUUUUUUUUUAAUAUUUAUGAUUUGAUAUAUUCAAAUGAAUACUAAAUAUUAACAUUUGUUUUGAUUAGAAUUACAAAUGUUCAAAUUUUUUGGAUCAAUUCAAAUAACAAAAUUAAUUAAUUUUUUUUUGAAAAGAAAACAAAAUAAAUUAAAUUUCGUCUAUGUUUUGUCUAUCCUUACUUAAUAAUUAAUAAGUACCAAACACGUAGUAAACUCAAAACGAAAAUUUGGGGGGUUAUUAGAGAAGAGAAGUUCCAUGAAGUAAAAGGAAAGAGAAGCGUGUUGUUGUGUUGGUCGAAGAAGAUUGAUAGUUAAAAAAAGGUGGAAUAUCUGUGAGUGAUUGAGAAGAGACACGUGAUUUAGUGACAUCAUUUAACGUUAGCUGUCUCAUUAAGGACAUACGUGUGCACAUCAACUUCCACCUCCAUCUCCACCUGCACCUGACCAGCUGCACUUCUUUUCCCGUUUCCUCUUCACUUCUCCCAUGUGCUCCCCUUUCCCCUCUUCUUCUUCUCUCUAUAUAUCAUUUUAAAAAUAAAUAACAAUGGGCCUUAGAGAGACAUGAUGAGCCGUAUAACCAAUAGUAGAUCUGGGGGUUCAUCUGUGGGAUUCAAAUUGGAUAUUUCAAAUUUUGGUCUAAUUCGUAACCCAUCCUAAAUAUAGUAAAUUAAUAAAUAUUGAUCGGGUUUAAAUAUAACAUACGGUUUCAGUCUAAUUUAUAUAACAUCCUAGAAUUCAUAAAGUAAUUAUAUAUUGUUCAGAUUCAGAUUAUAUCGAAUCGGUUUGGAUAAUCCGAAAUAAAAUUUAAAAGCAAAAAAAAAAUAUUUAUUUACAUAAAAUUAGGUAUUUAAGGUAUUUAUUUAAAUUUUAAAUAUUUCUUUGGAUAUCGUAUCAAAAUAAAUAUGAAAUUGAAUAUUUGAAAUACAUAUUUAUGUUUCAAAUAAUAUUUCUAUAGCAUACUAAUUUAGACAUUCGGAUCUAGUUUUUGGUUUUUUAUUUCGAAUUUUUUUUUUCAAGCUACUCAUUCGGAUUUGAUUCGGUUAAUAACACUUCGAGUUUGGAUAUAUUUUGUAACACCUUAUAAAAUUCAUUCAUGUGUUUUUUUUUUAAUUUCGAACCGGAUACAGAUCGAGUUUUUUUGUUUGGGUUCGGUUUAGGUUUCAGAUUAAUAUGCCCGGCCUAACCAAUAUGUUUAACUACAAAUCUAUUCAAGUGGAAGGAGUAAGCAAAAAACGAGGGGGAGUGGUCAAGAAGACCAACCCUACUUUAACUCUUUACCAAGACAUAGGGGAGUCACAGAAACUUCACACGUGUAAAUUUGUCACGUUUUCUUUUUAGUGUUUUGUCUGAGAAUAACCAAACUUCGGCUUACUCAUCACUACAAAUUUAACGAAUUAUUGUUUUUCUGUCUUGUGUAUAUACUAUAUAGAGUCACACUAAAAUUCAGACUUCAGAUUAACAAACGAUCAAUUUUAAAUAAGGGACUAGCUGCUCUUUUAAUUUAGAGAGGAAAAAGGGAGAAAAUAUGCAUCAUCAUUCGGAGACGACGACGACAAUAAAUCAACCACUUUGUCCUAAGCCACGUCGUGUGUGUCCUUCUCUUCCUGAUUUUCUCAAGCCUGUCUCAUGUUCACUACACUCUUCGAACUGUCAACAAAGUUCGGAGGGAAGAAGCGGCGUUAUCAACAUAAUCGAUAAGGUCAUACACCCAUACUUGCUGUCUUCAUCAUCAUAGAUAAUAUUUCCAAGAUAAAUAUCAUUUUAAUAUAAGGAUUCCAAUAUCAGUGAUUAUAAUAAAACAAGAGAAUGACAUAAGUCAGAUAAUGACAACGGGAUCCAAACUUGCGUACAUCCAUGGUUUCUGAGUGUUAAGUAAUUAAAUAUAUAUUUAUUUAAACUGUGGUAGGUUCAGCCGGUAGAAGGUGGAAUAGAGUGGUACGUUGGGUCUCCACCUAAGAGAACCGGGAAUCCUCUUGUCCACGACCUUCAUUUCGUUCACUGCCAUGACCUUCUCCCCAAUUUCCCAAGCACCAAGGCUUGAUCUUCACAUCUUCGUUGACGAUUCAUGCAUACACAACCGUACAAACAAAACAAACAAAGAGAAAAGAAAAGAAAAACUUUCACAUAAAAUGCCAUAUCGAUCGAUCUCGGGGUACAACAUUAACCUCAUCACCUAAACGGGUUUCUUAUACAGAUAUGCACCAACAAGUUUGGAGUUUAUUUUUUGAAGAAUUGUAUUAGAUUUUCUUGAUCACCAAGAGUACACACUGAGGUCAGCACAAUUAAUACUGCUUACUCAAUCAGCACCCACUUCCUGAGUACACACUGAACGCAUAGACUUAAAUAGAACGGUUAAAUACAUAUAUGUAUUAGAGCUUGGAUCUUUUCUCUGUAAUAUGUAAAUUUUCUCUUUUUAGUUUGGAUGACUUGUUUUGUAUCUGCCUUGUGUUUCCUUAAUUUCUAAACUUCUUGUGAUUAUCUUUAGUUUGUUAUGCCUUGUAUGGUGAUCUUAUUGGAGCGAAUGUUUGAGACAUUCCAAUA